AACAGGUUAAUAUUCCUGUACUUGGUGUUACUGCGAAGGGGGGACGGAGAAGGCUAUGUUGGCCGGGCGACGGUUGUCCCGGUUUAAGCAUGUAGGCGGAUGUUCCAGGUAAAUCCGGAACGUUAUUAACGCUGAGGUGUGAUGACGAGGCACUACGGUGCUGAAGUGACAAAUGCCCUGCUUCCAGGAAAAGCCUCUAAGCAUCAGGUAACAUCAAAUCGUACCCCAAACCGACACAGGUGGUCAGGUAGAGAAUACCAAGGCGCUUGAGAGAACUCGGGUGAAGGAACUAGGCAAAAUGGUGCCGUAACUUCGGGAGAAGGCACGCUGAUGGUAAGUGAAGUGACUUGCUCAUGGAGCUGAAAUCAGUCGAAGAUACCAGCUGGCUGCAACUGUUUAUUAAAAACACAGCACUGUGCAAACACGAAAGUGGACGUAUACGGUGUGACGCCUGCCCGGUGCCGGAAGGUUAAUUGAUGGGGUUAUCCUCGCGGAGAAGCUCUUGAUCGAAGCCCCGGUAAACGGCGGCCGUAACUAUAACGGUCCUAAGGUAGCGAAAUUCCUUGUCGGGUAAGUUCCGACCUGCACGAAUGGCGUAAUGAUGGCCAGGCUGUCUCCACCCGAGACUCAGUGAAAUUGAACUCGCUGUGAAGAUGCAGUGUACCCGCGGCAAGACGGAAAGACCCCGUGAACCUUUACUAUAGCUUGACACUGAACACUGGUCCUUGAUGUGUAGGAUAGGUGGGAGGCUUUGAAGUGUGGACGCCAGUCUGCAUGGAGCCAUCCUUGAAAUACCACCCUUUAAUGGCUGGUGUUCUAACGUGGGCCCGUAAUCCGGGUUGCGGACAGUGUCUGGUGGGUAGUUUGACUGGGGCGGUCUCCUCCUAAAGAGUAACGGAGGAGCACGAAGGUCAGCUAAUCCUGGUCGGACAUCAGGAGGUUAGUGCAAUGGCAUAAGCUGGCUUGACUGCGAGCGUGACGGCGCGAGCAGGUGCGAAAGCAGGUCAUAGUGAUCCGGUGGUUCUGAAUGGAAGGGCCAUCGCUCAACGGAUAAAAGGUACUCCGGGGAUAACAGGCUGAUACCGCCCAAGAGUUCAUAUCGACGGCGGUGUUUGGCACCUCGAUGUCGGCUCAUCACAUCCUGGGGCUGAAGUAGGUCCCAAGGGUAUGGCUGUUCGCCAUUUAAAGUGGUACGCGAGCUGGGUUUAGAACGUCGUGAGACAGUUCGGUCCCUAUCUGCCGUGGGCGCUGGAGAAUUGAGGGGGGCUGCUCCUAGUACGAGAGGACCGGAGUGGACGCAUCACUGGUGUUCGGGUUGUCAUGCCAAUGGCAUUGCCCGGUAGCUAAAUGCGGAAGAGAUAAGUGCUGAAAGCAUCUAAGCACGAAACUUGCCCCGAGAUGAGUUCUCCCUGACCCUUUAAGGGUCCUGAAGGAACGUUGAAGACGACGACGUUGAUAGGCCGGGUGUGUAAGCGCAGCGAUGCGUUGAGCUAACCGGUACUAAUGAACCGUGAGGCUUAACCUU
rnacentral:rRNA from 1 species